ACGGAGGGAGCAAGCGUUACUCGGAAUUAUUGGGCGUAAAGGGCGCGUAGGCGAUCUGACAAGUCUGGUGUGAAAGCCCACAUGUUAACUGUGGAAGUGCAUUAGAAACUGUUGGAUUUGAGUUCAGGAGAGGAAGGCAGAAUUCCCGGUGUAGCGGUGAAAUGCGUAGAGAUCCGGAGGAACACCAAAGGCGAAGGCAGUGUCCUGGGGAGUACCUGACGCUCAGGUGCGAAAGCCAGGGGAGCGAACGGGA
rnacentral:rRNA from 1 species